GGUCCUUCAUUGUACUAUAAACUAUUCAAUUGAAAUAAACAUAGCAUGAGGUUUUUCAAAUAUAAAGUGAUCAAACAAUUUUGUAUUUGUUGCAUGCAAAGGUAGAGUAAAAAUGGCUAAAAUUCUUAAAGUUUUUUAUACUAUGAUCGUUUUCGUGUUCCUUUUUCUUGCUGUAGUCGAUGUUAGUGUUUUUAGUUGUAAGUCAGACAUCGAUUGUAUUGAUUUCCACUGUCCCAUUUAUCCUUAUAUAAUUUGCUUUAAUGGAGAAUGUCAGUGCUCAGCAGUUAAGUUGUUACAGGUUGAUAAGUCUUGAAGUUCAAGUUUGGGAGGAACCCCGCUCUGAUAGGUAUCAUUUUGGCUAUUUGGAAGUUUGGAGACUUGUGCCCUAGUAGAGAAACUCAUAAACAAUUAUUUCUAGCACCAUUUGAUCAGUUUUAUUAAGAAUUAUUCAUGGAUCAUUCUUGUAAUUAUUCCCUAAUCUCUUUAUUUUCUAUCUCUACCAUUAGUAACUAAACUCUAUUUGUUAGGAUGAAUGAAAUCUUUAUUUUUUUGAUUUCA